rnacentral:rRNA from 1 species
UACGUAGGGUGCAAGCGUUAUCCGGAAUUAUUGGGCGUAAAGAGCUCGUAGGCGGUUUGUCGCGUCUGCUGUGAAAACCCGAGGCUCAACCUCGGGCCUGCAGUGGGUACGGGCAGACUAGAGUGCGGUAGGGGAGAUUGGAAUUCCUGGUGUAGCGGUGGAAUGCGCAGAUAUCAGGAGGAACACCGAUGGCGAAGGCAGAUCGCUGGGACGGUAUUGACGCUGAGGCGCGAAAGCGUGGGGAGCAAACAGG